GAUGAACGCUAGCUACAGGCUUAACACAUGCAAGUCGAGGGGUAGCAGGGUAGCAAUACCGCUGACGACCGGCGCACGGGUGAGUAACACGUAUCCAACCUACCGUUUACUCGGGGAUAGCCUUUCGAAAGAAAGAUUACUACCCGAUAGUAUAAAGAGUUCGCAUGUUCUCUUUAUUAAAGGAAUCCGGUAAAUGAUGGGGGUGCGUUCCAUUAGAUUGUGGGCGGGGUAACGGCCCACCAAGUCUUCGAUGGUUAGGGGUGCUGAGAGGAAGGUGCCGCACAUAGGAACAGAGACAAGGCCCAAAAUCGUACGGGAGGCAGCAGUGAUGAAUAUUGGUCAAUGAGCGUUAGCCUGAACCAGCCAAGUAGCGUGGAGGAUGACUGCCCUAUGGAUUGUAAACUUCUUUGAGAAGGGAAUAAAACGGGGAACGUGUUCCCCUUUGCAUGUACCUUACGAAUAAGGAUCGGCUAACUCCGUGCCAGCCGCCGCAGUAA
rnacentral:rRNA from 1 species